AUGAAUCUUGAUUCUCUAAUCAACUAUAAUAGCCUAGCCCUAGAUAUACUCAUUAAUAGUAACAGAUUCACUUGAGUUAGUUUAAUUGUGUUGAAGAGCAGAUUUGUUCAUGUUUGUGUCUUAGUGACGUAUUUGUUUUGCUUCUGUAUAAAAUCAAAGACAAUUGAAUUGAUGCACUUUAUUAGCUCUUUAAAAGAUCAACAAUUUUGUGAUUGACAAUGGCCAAAGAACUAGGUUUAUAUGUUUUUUUCCCCAUAUAACUUGUUGUUGAGUCAUGUAAUUAACCUUCUCUUUUUGUUUAUAUGUAUUGUAUUUGUGUUGGGUCAAGUACAAGCUUGUGAUUGAUAUAUGGUUUUUGGCGAAGGAUGUUGGAGUAUUGGACAUAGUCUAUGUUGCAUAGGUACAGGAAAGGUUAUUGAACAAAUAAAAGAAAAGCUUUUACUAUCUGAUCAGGACCUACAUACUAGUAAGUUGGAGCAAGGCUUAUGGUUUAUAACAAUAGACAACUUUUGAAAACCAGUCCAGAUGAAUGGCUAAUGAUGAUAUCGAUGAAGAAUUUCAAGAUUUAGAAGUACAAGAGAUGAAGACAGAUGUUUAUGUUCAAGUGUACGUUAUUUGGAUUGUGAAAAUGAUAAUUGACAUUUUGAGUUAACAAUACCCAAUUAAAUAUUCGAAUACUUUAUUGUGA